rnacentral:rRNA from 1 species
UACCAGCUCUCCGAGUUGUAGGGAUGAUUAUUGGGCUUAAGGCGUUCGUAGCUGGCUUAGCAAGUCUCCUGUUAAAUUCAGCGACCUAAUCGUUGAGCCGCGGGAGAUACUACUAGGCUAGGAGGCGGGAGAGGUCAACGGUACUUUCGGGGUAGGGGUGAAAUCCUAUAAUCCCGGGAGGACCACCAGUGGCGAAGGCUGUUGACUAGAACGCGCUCGACGGUGAGGGACGAAAGCUGGGGGAGCGAACCGGGAUUAGAUACCCGGGUAGUCCCAGCUGUAAACUAUGCGGGCUAGGUGUUGGGGUGGCUACGGGCCACGUUCAGUGCCGCAGGAAAGCCAUUAAGCCCGCCGCCUGGGGAGUACGGCCGCAAGGCUGAACUUAAAGGAAUUGGCGGGGGAGCACCACAAGGCGUGAAGCUUGCGGUUC